rnacentral:tmRNA from 1 species
GGGGAUGACAGGCUUCGACGGGAGAGGCUGGUCCCGGACUGCGAGCCGAGAGGUACCGACCUCGUAAAAUCAGUACAAAAAAUCAAGUGCCAAUCGCACUCAGUACGCUGCUCUCCCCCUCGCUGCCUAAGCGAAGGUGAUCAGCAAAUGACCUCCGCGUGAGGUCACGUCCGCCUGCUCCGCCGCCUGACCGGUAGC